rnacentral:rRNA from 2 species
GACGUAGGAGACGAGCGUUAUUCGGAUUUACUGGGCGUAAAGCGCGUGCAGGCGGUUUGGUAAGUUGGAUGUGAAAGCUCCCGGCUCAACUGGGAGAGGUCGUUCAAAACUGCCAGACUAGAGAAUAGGAGAGGGAGGUGGAAUUCCGGGUGUAGUGGUGAAAUGCGUAGAUAUCCGGAGGAACACCAGUGGCGAAGGCGACCUCCUGGCCUAUUUCUGACGCUCAGACGCGAAAGCUAGGGUAGCAAACGGG